rnacentral:lncRNA from 1 species
CAAGAUAGUCUGUAAAGCAAGAUCUUGUAGCUUUGGCUCAAGGAUACAUGAUUUAUUUGUCAUGAAAAUGACCCAAAAAUUCAGAUUUGGAUAGCCACCUUCAACUCUUCGAAACUCCUAGCUAAAAUAUGAUAAUUUCAUGCUCUUGGACUUUUUGGAAAGCUAAGACAAUGCUCUACAACUUUCAUGUUUGGAGUUUUCCUUUAAUCAAUGUGUAUCAUGCUGAAACAUGAUGAUCAAGUAAGCCACUUUUUGAAGGAGGAUUUGGUUGAAAG